GUUUUUCGAUACNGGGCGUUAAGGGCACGUAGGCGGUGAAUCGGGUUGAAAGUGAAAGUCGCCAAAAACUGGCGGAAUGCUCUCGAAACCAAUUCACUUGAGUGAGACAGAGGAGAGUGGAAUUUCGUGUGUAGGGGUGAAAUCCGUANAUCUACGAAGGAACGCCAAAAGCGAAGGCAGCUCUCUGGGUCCCUACCGACGCUGGGGUGCGAAAGCAUGGGGAGCGAACNGGAUUAGAUACCCUGGUAGUCCACA
rnacentral:rRNA from 1 species